AGUCAUAGUAAGUCAUAGUUAGCUAUUAGUCAGUGAAGAAUCGGAGUGAAUUGUACUAAGGAGGAAUAUUAAACUACAGAAGCUGUGCAAGUUUGCCGUUGAGUGUGCCUUUAUCACAUUACCCUACAGUCACCAUGCUUGCCCGUCAGACACCGAUUAUUUUCCUCAUCCUCGUGGCCGUCAUCGCCAUCUACAGUGUCUCCAGGUAUUCACUUGAUGAGAAGUUUGCUUCCGUGCUCGUGGCGAGAUGCAUCGACACCAGCAGCAGCAGGAGCGCCUCGCCCCCGGCCCCAGGAGCAUCAAGGGACGGGGCCUUCUACCGGGAGGCAGACAUCGCCACGUGGGACGAGGACUGGGGUAAGGCCGCCCCUAGUUUUCUCCGUCCCUCC